CAAGUCGAGCGCGGGAAGCCGGCGGACUCCUUCGGGAGGAAACCGGUGGAACGAGCGGCGGACGGGUGAGUAACACGUGGGCAACCUGCCGGACUGAUGGGAAUAACCCCGGGAAACCGGGGCUAAUGCCCAAUACGCCCUGACCUCGCCUGAGGUCAGCGGUAAAGCAGGGAUCUUCGGAUCCUUGCACAGUCCGAUGGGCCCGCGGCGCAUUAGCUAGUUGGAGAGGUAAGGGCUCCCCAAGGCGACGAUGCGUAGCCGACCUGAGAGGGUGAUCGGCCACACUGGGACUGAGACACGGCCCAGACUCCUACGGGAGGCAGCAGUAGGGAAUCAUCCGCAAUGGGCGAAAGCCUGACGGUGCAACGCCGCGUGAGUGAUGAAGGUUUUCGGAUCGUAAAGCUCUGUUGACAGGGAAGAACCCACGCCAGUCGAACAGGCUGGCGUGCUGACGGUACCUGUCCAGAAAGCCCCGGCUAACUACGUGCCAGCAGCCGCGGUAAUACGUAGGGGGCAAGCGUUGUCCGGAAUUAUUGGGCGUAAAGGGCACGCAGGCGGUUUCGUCAGUCCGAUGUGACAGGCCACGGCUCAACCGUGGAAGGCCAUUGGAAACUGCGAGACUUGAGGACAGAAGAGGAGAGUGGAAUUCCACGUGUAGCGGUGAAAUGCGUAGAUAUGUGGAGGAACACCAGUGGCGAAGGCGACUCUCUGGUCUGUACCUGACGCUGAGGUGCGAAAGCAUGGGGAGCAAACAGGAUUAGAUACCCUGGUAGUCCAUGCCGUAAACGCUGAGUGCUAGGUGUUAGGGGUUUCGAUACCCGUAGUGCCGAAGCUAACGCAUUAAGCGAAAUGCGUAGAUAUGUGGAGGAACACCAGUGGCGAAGGCGACUCUCUGGUCUGUACCUGACGCUGAGGUGCGAAAGCAUGGGGAGCAAACAGGAUUAGAUACCCUGGUAGUCCAUGCCGUAAACGCUGAGUGCUAGGUGUUAGGGGUUUCGAUACCCGUAGUGCCGAAGCUAACGCAUUAAGCACUCCGCCUGGGGAGUACGACCGCAAGGUUGAAACUCAAAGGAAUUGACGGGGGCCUGCACAAGCGGUGGAGCAUGUGGUUUAAUUCGACGCAACGCGAAGAACCUUACCAGAUCUUGACAUCUUUCGCUACGCCUCGAGAGAGGCGGUUCCCCUUCGGGGGACGAAAUGACAGGUGGUGCAUGGUUGUCGUCAGCUCGUGUCGUGAGAUGUUGGGUUAAGUCCCGCAACGAGCGCAACCCCUAAUCUUAGUUGCCAGCAUUCAGUUGGGCACUCUAAGGUGACUGCCGGUGACAAACCGGAGGAAGGUGGGGAUGACGUCAAAUCAUCAUGCCCCUUAUGAUCUGGGCUACACACGUGCUACAAUGGAUGGUACAACGGGACGCGAACCCGCGAGGGGGAGCCAAUCCA
rnacentral:rRNA from 1 species